GACGAACGCUGGCGGCGUGCUUAACACAUGCAAGUCGAACGAUGAAGCCGGAGCUUGCUCUGGUGAAUUAGUGGCGAACGGGUGAGUAACACGUGAGUAACCUGCCCUUGACUCUGGGAUAACUGCUAGAAAUGGUAGCUAAUACCAGAUACGACCCUCGGAGGCAUCUCCAGGGGGUGGAAAGAAUUUCGGUCAAGGAUGGACUCGCGGCCUAUCAGCUAGUUGGUGAGGUAACGGCUCACCAAGGGGACGACGGGUAGCCGGCCUGAGAGGGUGACCGGCCACUCUGGGACUGAGACACGGCCCAGACUCCUACGGGAGGCAGCAGUGGGGAAUAUUGCACAAUGGGCGCAAGCCUGAUGCAGCAACGCCGCGUGAGGGAUGACGGCCUUCGGGUUGUAAACCUCUUUUAGUAGGGAAGAAGCGAAAGUGACGGUACCUGCAGAAAAAGCACCGGCUAACUACGUGCCAGCCGCCGCCGUAA
rnacentral:rRNA from 1 species